rnacentral:rRNA from 1 species
UACGUAGGGCGCAAGCAUUAUCCGGAAUUAUUGGGCGUAAAGAGCUCGUAGGCGGUUUGUCGCGUCUGCCGUGAAAGUCCGGGGCUCAACUCCGGAUCUGCGGUGGGUACGGGCAGACUAGAGUGAUGUAGGGGGAGACUGGAAUUCCUGGUGUAGCGGUGAAAUGCGCAGAUAUCAGGAGGAACACCGAUGGCGAAGGCAGGUCUCUGGGCAUUAACUGACGCUGAGGAGCGAAAGCAUAGGGAGCGAACAGG